CGAGCCAGCCAGACAGUCGCUCCCGCAAGGGGGAGGAAAGUCCGGGCUCCACAGGGUAGAGUGCCAGGUAACGCCUGGGGGGUGAAAGCCCACGGAAAGUGCAGCAGAGAGCAGACCGCCUAAGCGCGCGCAAGCGUGCCGGUAAGGGUGAAAGGGUGCGGUAAGAGCGCACCGCGCAACUGGUAACAGUUUGUGGCAUGGUAAACCCCACUCGGAGCAAGACCAAAUAGGCCUUCUAUGGUGUGUCCCGCACUGAAGGCGGGUAGGUUGCUUGAGGCCAGUGGUGACACUGGUCCCAGAUGAAUGACUGUCCUAGACAGAACCCGGCUUAUCGGCUGACUCAACUA
rnacentral:RNase_P_RNA from 2 species